CCCCUGAUCCCCCUAUGAUUCCAAAGGCCUGCUCCAGAGACUGUGCUCUUGAGGUAGAGGGAUUACCCAGGUGAAGAACCCAUAUUUUCUCCCAGCUUGCUGAGGAAAUCUUUCCAUUUUCUAUGUGGUCUCAUAUUGUGUAGAUCCUGAAAUCUGGCUACCUUAAUUAUGCCAACAAGAAACUAAACAAAAUGAGCCUUGUUUUUACUUGGUUCCCAAUUCACUUCAAUGCCAAUCACAACCUUGGGGUACAUGCUCCCUGGGACUCUGUGGUCUGGAGGUAAAGAACAUUAUCAGCAGCAACUGGGGUGAGCCCUGGUGGAUCUCUCAGACUCUGCCAGCAGGUUAAGACAUGGAGGUAAAUUACAUUGUCCCAGAACUCCUGUGGCCAUUCCCUGUCAUAUCUUUCCUGGUUCGUCUAGUCGCUAUGGAAUAAAGGAUGGGAAGCUUUCCAAGGCUGUCGGUGCGGUUUGGAGUGCAGGGAGCAUGUAGAAGCUCCCUUGUCUGCUCAUCCACUUGGAUCAUUCUAUCAAUAGGUUAUUGCCCAACACUGGAGAAAGGCAUUACACUCAGGAGACCUAUCACACACUGAACUCCAGAGAUCUCAGCUCACUCAAAAGGGUUCAAUGUUAUCAACACAUUUGUGCAGCAAAAUUUGAGAAGCCUGGGCAAUAAUCAUCAUGGCUCAGAAGUCUAAGGAAUACCUUAAGAAGGUGAAAGGGAAAAUCUCAGGCAGGAAAGGCAGACAACAAUGACAAGUGGCCAGCAGCUCCUCAGAGCAGACCUGAUUGUCAGGACCGAUGUGGCUAGCAGCUUCUAAGGUAGACGAUUCAACGGGGAGGGCACAGCUCGCUCACUGGAGGCCCCCGUGGCUGGUGUUUGGGCCACAUUCCUUCAACGGUGCUGGUGACUUUGACAUCCUUGAUUUCAGCCUUAAUUACUACCUUAAAUUAAAGGGUUUUCAGCUCAAGAAGUGCUGUCUAGUUGGAGAACAAAAUCAACACGCAGCAAUGUAUGGCAUUUCUAUCUACUAACAACAAACUACCAGAAAGAGAAGUGAAGAAAAUAAUCCCAUUUGUAAUUGCAACAAAAGAAUAAAAUAUAUAGGAAUAAACUUAGCAAAGGAGGUGAAAGACCUGUACACUGAGAACUACAAAACAUGGUUGAAAGAAGUUUCAGAAGACACAGAGAAAUGGAAAGGUAUUUUGUGUUCAUGGAUUGAAAGAAUUCACAUUGUUAAAAUGUCCAUAUUACCUAAAGCAAUCUACAGAUUCAAUAUAAUCUCUGUCAAAAUCCCAAUAGCAUUUUUCGCAAAAAAGGGCAGCUAAUUUCUGACAAAGGACCCAAGAACAUACAUUGGAGAAAGGAAAGUCUCCUCAACAAAUUGGGUUGAAAAAAGUGGACAGCUACACGCAAAAUAAUGAACACUAUCUUACAACACACACACACAAAUUAAUUAAAAAUGGAUUAAAAACUGAAUGGAAGUCCUGAAACAAUAAAAUACAUAAAAGAACACAUAGGCACUAAGCUUCUGGAUGUCAGUUUCAGAGCUGUUUUUUGUGAUUUUGACCUCAGAAGCAAGGGAAACAAAAACAAAAAUGGUCUUUUCUUCUCACCCGAGGAUAUGUUUAUUGAUUUUAGAGAGAGAGGAAAUAGGGAGGAGGGAGAGAGAGAAAGAAAGAGAGAGAGAGGGACAUCAAAACAUCAAUAGGUUGCCUCCCAUACAUGCCCCAACUGGGGAUCGAAGCCACAGCCUAGGCACGUGCCCCAGCCAGGAAUCGCACCCACGAUGUUUUGGUGUACAGGUAACACUCCAGCCCCUUCGUUCUCUCUUUCGCUUCGUUCUUUUCUCCAUUUUCUCUGUUCUGCCUUUGUUCUCUUUGUUCUCCCUGUUUGGUCGUGAGCAUGCACCAUGCUACAUAGAUAUCAAGUUAUAAUAUCUUACAUCUGAAAUGUAUGUUAUUAACUAAUGUUACUCAAUAAAAAAUAAUUUGAAAAGGAAGAUUACUAGAAGUGCAAUGAAAUCCUUUUAAUUCAAGGAACUGAUGAUAUCCAGAAGGCAUGAAAUUGAUCUAAGGCCAGAUUCAAACCAUUUCUGACUCCAGUGGUCAUACAAUUUUCAUGAUGUGCUGCCAGCCUUUCAGUUUAUAUCCUUAACAAGGAAGGAAGGACCCUUUCUUUAUUAAUGUGAUUGAUAGGUUUCUUGAGAAUAGUGGUUGAAAGCCUAAGCAGUUUCAUCUUGUCACUCUUUUUCUAAGUAUGGUUCUUAAA